UCCAGACUUUGGAUCGAAUGGAAACUCAAGGAUGACUGAAAAUGUCUUGAAGGACCAUUCGAGACUGGAAGCUUGUAUCCAGAGCUGUGAGAGUCAGAUCGAGGUGGUGGAGAUGAAGCUCAAGGCACUUGAGGAAGUUAAGAAAACUCUGGAAGAGCACAAAGAGGACAUAAGGAAAAAUAACUUUCAGUACAAAUACACAACUGUAGUCAUGAAGAAGGUCCCAGUUCAGGCAACGACACUGUGCUGCACCAAUUGUAAGUGGUGGAAGCUGGUGUCACCAUAGAAACUACUGAAGAGACACUCCCAGGCUCAACCUAACAACAGAUGAGGUGUUGAGAAAAGUAUACGCAAUUUAAGCCAGAAAGCAACUCUAUGACAAGGGGGGAAAUAUGACUGUAUGCUUGACUGGUAAAAUGGUUUUAUUGUUUUGUAUUUGAUAAAUGGUUUUAUUGUUUUGUAUUUGAUUUCUUUUGAUGUAGAUCUUCAUUUCCUAAGUGUUUUAUCAUAUAGAAUUCCAUGGAGACCUCAGUAACUGAGCACAUUCUAAAAAAUCUUGGUAGUCCAAGACCAAUGGCAUUUUUUCAGAAAAAAUUGUAAAACAGUCUUCCUGUUGAUUUUAUGAUCUAAAAUGGUUUGUUUAAUGGUCUUUUGUCUUUUAAUGUACUGUGGGGUGCUUUGUAGAUUAGUAUUUCCACAGGUCCUAUAAUCCUGAUGAGUAAUUAAGAAGUGAGUAGGGCCAGACCCCUUGGAGGAUCUGUUGUAUGGAUUUUAAAAGCCUUUAAACUUAAACUGCUUUGGUGCGAGGAGGGAAAAUAUAUAUAUAUAUUCUGCUUUUGUUUGUGAGAAAUGCCAUUAUUUGUUCAAUGAAUAUAGUGAAUAUAACCAAU